rnacentral:lncRNA from 1 species
AUAGUGUCUAGAUAUGCCAGAUCACAAUGCACUUUGACUACAUGUCUGCUAUAUAAUACACUUUCUUUUCCGUCUUCUGUUCCUGCUUUCAACUCUUUGGAACUUGUCCUCAAAGCACACAGCCACUCCUGGGAAGAGGGUGUGUUAAUCCGUUACUCCACUUCCAUUUAUGAUCUUUUUUACUUCCCAGAACAAAGAUGCCCUUCCUUACAGACCAGUAUGUACAACAACACAUAUGUAUGGUCUUCCCCAAUGGAAGGCAAGCUUCAAAAGAACAGGCAGUCUACAGUUCAGCUCAAUUCAACACUGAUGAAUUGUCUCCUACAUCGAGAGAAGUAUGAGAGUUCUGGAAAGACAAGACAAAAUAAAAGGUGUGUACAUUCGGCUACACAAUUUGGUUCUUACCCAUUUUUCUAUACUCAUUGAAUUCUGCUCUCCCACGUAUUCCAUAGGUUCCAAUCCAACUGAAACCCUUCAUUUCCCAAUAAUAUUCAUCUUCUCGUCUUGGAUUCAGUCAGAUUAUUUUCCCUUCAUGCAAUGCUAUUCAUAGUUCUACCUUGAGAUAAAUAUUUCUGAAAGAUUAUCUUAUCUUUCAAACCUCCCCCAACCCCAUGGCCGCCUUCUCCAUGAUGCCUUGGCUUAUCCCUACAGCUUAAGGGAAAUAGCCAUGCUAAGUUUUCUCAUACAAUUUUGUCCAGUCUUCCGGCCUUCUAUAACUUUAUUUUACUACUAAUAAUUGAUAACCGAAUCACCCACUUUCUCUGUCAAUGAAGUGCCCAGUUUAAGAGGCAGAAGUAAGUUUGCUUUUUGAAACAGAAGGUCUUUCUGUCCCUGACUUUAGGACUGAGGCCCACAGAUUAGUCUGGAGAGAAUGCCAGAGCAUUAAAGAGGAUUAUCAAGGAAGCUUACCUACUUGAAUGAAGUGUGAGGCAUCCCUUCUUGAUUCCCUUUCUCUAGCCCCCUUUCUUCGUUCUGUUGAGGAUUCUUUUUAGCAACAAAUGGUAUUUCUCUUAUGAAAGUGAACAAAACCCUUCUGGUGGAAAUAGAUGGUCAGACAGGAAGAGGCUGUAGUCCCAUUGCCAGUGUUUCAGCACAGAGCACCACCUUUCAACACUGGUCUGUGCUCCUGUACUGCCUUUGGGCAGCUGGUCUUUGGGAUUCAGACCGUGCUGCCUUGAAGAUUCAGAGCUUUCCAGCUUAGGUCCAGAGUUCCAAAGGAAUCUAGAUACAGUGGAAAAGCUAUACAACGGAAAACCAGAAUGCUGCAAUAACUGCCAAGAUGUACUGGAAAGGACUUUGUUGCAAUAAUGAGACUGAAACAAAAUGGAAUGCUAUUGCUAAAUGAAGUCACAUCAGUUUAAAACAUCAGUUGCUUGUUCUGACAGCAUAGAUUUGAAGGAAAAAAACAAGCUCAAUGAGAGCAGGG